CCGGAGCCAAGUAUUAUACCACAUGCUACAAUUACACACUAUAAAAUAGUAUUACUAUAGCUUAGUUGGGACGUGUAGAUAAUUAUAUCUGUGGUUCUGAAAUCUCUUAAACUUUCCAUGGAUGAUUAAUCGAACUUACAGUUUUGUAACUAGUGUCGAGUAAUUUUAACAUAUUACGGUUUCUUAUUACUAUCUAGAUAGUAUGUUGCGCAUAGCACGUAAACCUAAACGUUUUAUAUUUUGUUAGUGAAGUUUUUUUUUUUUUUGUGUAAUUUCUUGUAGCCGUUUGUCUAAGCGUUCUUUGGUUAGUGAAGCUUUUUUUUUGUAAUUUCUUAUAGCCGUUUGUCUAAGCGUUAAUUAAAAGAGGUCGUUAAUAUAUUUCAAAUGUGACGUACAUCUCUCAAAUAAAAUUUCUCACGUAUUCAAUUAUCAAAUUAUUGAUCAUUAUGAUUGUCUCGACGGUCACCACCAUCCAAGUAGAGCCCACAAGCUGCUUCGAGGAAAAUAACUCAUGUCGGACUCAUCUACGGUUUCUUCUGCAGCAUGAAACAAGACAAAUGUGUUUUGAUGUCUAUGGACCGACAACAAACAAAUGUCUAUGUCGUUUAAAAUUAAAAUUUGAAACUACUCAUUUUAGUUAUUGUAUCGUUUGUGUUCAAACACGUUUCCGAUGAAACAAUGACAUGUUUAAUAUAGUGAGUGUAAUUUAACAGUUUAAAAUAUUUGGUUGAAAU
rnacentral:lncRNA from 1 species